UACGGAGGGUGCAAGCGUUAUCCGGAUUCACUGGGUUUAAAGGGUGCGUAGGUGGGUCUGUAAGUCAGUGGUGAAAUCUCCAAGCUUAACUUGGAAACUGCCGUUGAUACUAUAGAUCUUGAAUGUUGUGGAGGUGAGCGGAAUAUGUCAUGUAGCGGUGGAAAUGCUUAGAUAUGACAUAGAACACCAAUUGCGAAGGCAGCUCACUACACAAAUAUUGACACUGAGGCACGAAAGCGUGGGGAUCAAACAGGA
rnacentral:rRNA from 1 species